CAAAGGACGGUGCUAUACAUGCAGUCGAGCGGACGGAUGGGAAGCUUUGCUUCCCUGAAGUUCAGCGGCGGACGGGUGAAGUAACACGUGGGCAACCUGCCUGUAAGACUGGGAUAACUUCGGGAAACCGGAGCUAAUACCGGAUAAUGCACAGCCUCUCAUGAGGCUAUGCUGAAAGAUGGUUUCGGCUAUCACUUACAGAUGGGCCCGCGGCGCAUUAGCUAGUUGGUGAGGUAACGGCUCACCAAGGCAACGAUGCGUAGCCGACCUGAGAGGGUGAUCGGCCACACUGGGACUGAGACACGGCCCAGACUCCUACGGGAGGCAGCAGUAGGGAAUCUUCCGCAAUGGACGAAAGUCUGACGGAGCAACGCCGCGUGAGUGAUGAAGGUUUUCGGAUCGUAAAACUCUGUUGUCAGGGAAGAACAAGUGCCGGAGUAACUGCCGGCACCUUGACGGUACCUGACCAGAAAGCCACGGCUAACUACGUGCCAGCAGCCGCGGUAAUACGUAGGUGGCAAGCGUUGUCCGGAAUUAUUGGGCGUAAAGCGCGCGCAGGCGGUCUCUUAAGUCUGAUGUGAAAGCCCACGGCUCAACCGUGGAGGGUCAUUGGAAAACUGGGGGACUUGAGUGCAGAAGAGGAAAGUGGAAUUCCACGUGUAGCGGUGAAAUGCGUAGAGAUGUGGGAGGAACACCAGUGGCGAAAGCGACUUUCUGGUCUGUAACUGACGCUGAGGCGCGAAAGCGGUGGGGAGCAAACAGGAUUAGAUACCCUGGUAGUCCACGCCGUAACGAUGAGUGCUAAGUGUUAGAGGGAUUCCGCCCCUUUAGUGCUGCAGCAAAACGCAUUAAGCACUCCGCCUGGGGGAGUACGCGCAGCUGAACUCAAUGAAUGACGGGGCCGCACAGCGUGAGCAUGGUGUUAUCGGAGCACGCGAGACUAACAGGUCCUGACAUCUCUGACACCUAGAGAAUAGCCGAUCCCAUCAGGAACGAUGACCGUGGUGCAUGUGCUCAGCUCGUUCUGGCAAGUUGGGAUAGUCGACCGAGGGCAUCUUGAUC
rnacentral:rRNA from 1 species